GGGUGGGGGGUUCUCUCGAUCAUAAAACUGUUAAUUUUUAUUUAAAUUUCUGUAAGUAUGGAAGACCAAUUGAUAGGUGAAUAUGUCAUGUGGUAUUGAGAGCAUGUGCCUGAUGGAAAAUUUAAUAAUGGAUUAUGGAUUGUUCAUGGUUUUCCUGGUUUCUAUAUCUUUUCAGUGAGAAAUUUCUGCAAACAGUGCCUUUUUGAGUUUUAAAGAAAGCUUUCUGGUGCUCUAAUGGAUUUGAUAAAUGUAUUCUGUGCUUCAUUGAAGUUUGUAACUUUUUCAACAUUGUAAAAAUGAUGAUUCUGAAACCAACAUGUAGCAAUAGUCCAUCAGUUUAAUGGACGCUCUUACAAAUUCCAAGUGAUAUGGAGACUCUUUUCUUAGUUAUACUGUACAAUGUACUUGUGGCUUCUGUUAAGGCACGAGUAUUUUGAGACAUAUAGCAAUUGUUUUGAAAAAAACUGUAAUUGGCUUGAAGUUUCUGUUUUCCUGUUUUAUCCAAAAACAAAUUCAGGGGAAUGAAACAUGAAUGGUGGCACUUGCACGAUAGAUCAAAUCAGACCUAAGUUAUAGUUUGAUGGAGUAAAUCGGGUCGAUAAAAUAGGACUUUAAACUGAGGACUCUAUAAAACUGCUGAGUUCGAAAGUAUUUGUGAUAUGUUUUUUUACUAUUCCAUAAAUAUGGUUUCGACGUCCUAGAUUUUUUUUAAAAUUGGAAUUACCAUAAUAUUAGAUAUGUUUGCUUACAUCUUUGUAUCUGUGAGGUGGUCAAUCUCACUUGGGUGAUAACCUCCACACUAUUGGCCUGACUAGCUCCUCUUGCAAUCCCUGAAACAAGGAAGACAAACACCGUUAUCGGCCGAUUGUCGGCCGGGAAGACCCUCCGAUGCUUAAAUAAGUGACCGGAAAAGGAGUAUGAGGCAUGAGAACUCAAAUGCAAAGUUUUAACAGGGUUAGAAGGCAUACCAUAGCUCCCGCGGUCACCUCGGCCUCUAAGCCAUCCAAGGUCACGUACCUAGCACACUUCUCACGUUCUCUUUCCUAUUAUUCCGGGCGGAAGCCUCCCCCCCCAACCCCCAAUGGUUAGGGAGUUAACCUUCCUCCGCAUUUGUCAAGCAUGCAGCCAUUCCGGCCACGCCACGUGUAAGAUCCGGUUCUUUGGCUGGUUCUCCCAAAUUAGGCAUGAAGUCUCUCCGUCGGGUUCACCCAGACUGGACUUCUUCGGUUUGAGUCGGUAUGUCCUCCUGUCCAAGUCUUUUCCGUGUUUGUUCAGCCGAAGGAGCUUGUCUGUCCUCCAUUCGGACUAAGAUGCUAGGCUGUCUUCUAGGGAGCUAGGCUGUCCUCCAGUCAGACUAAUAUGCUAGGCUGUCCUCCAGUUUGGACUUAGAUGCCCCCCAAACAUAUUUUGGCCCCUUACAAUAUCCACAUAAGUUCCAUUGUAGAAG
rnacentral:lncRNA from 1 species